UCCUCUACGACCACCACCCCCAAUAUUAUGAGGAACCACAAAAUCACUAUAAAUCCAAUCUCGAAAUAUUAAUGGAGGAUUUCAUUAAGACUCAAACAAUCUUUAGGCUAGAGUUUGUGGAAGCACAAACUCGCAUAAAUAAAGAAGUAAAUGAAGCUUUCAUGAAGUUAAACACUAAAGUCGAGUCCCUCGCGGCCGAUAGCAAGGCAAUAGAGACUCAAAUCUCUUUGCUUGCACAAGCAUCUCUAGGAUCGUUCACUAAGAAUCAUGUAGACGUCAUAACAACUAAUGAAAGUCAAAUUAAAAAUCUUAAGGAGAGUGAUAAUGAAAUCAAUGAGAAAUCUAAUGAGAAAAGAGUAGAGAUUGCGAAAAUUCCACCGACACCACCUAAAGAGGNNNNNNNNNNNNNNNNNNNNNNNNNNNNNCUCUGAACUUCCCUACAAGAAAAAGAAAAUAAAGAGUGAAGGGUAUGGAAGAUGGGUUGAAAAGUGGCGAUGGAAACCAAAAUUAAUUAGGAGUUUAAUCGGAGAUUUAAUUUCAAAACACCUUUAGAGCUUCUAAAAAGUCGAGCUAACCGACGUUAAACAAAGCGCUGCAUGGGAGGCAACCCAUGAGUUUUCUUUAAUUCUUGUUUAAUUUUUGCUUUCUUUUAUUUAUUUAUUUUUUUUUAUAUAACUAUCUCUGAUGAUCCUGUGACUAAUAGAGCUCCUACGCACAUUUCUCCAAAUGUUGCUGCUGGUGGGGGCGCAAGCAUUGUUCCACCUGCACACACUACACAUUUUUCUAACACUUUUGCAGGUAGUUCCUCCCUAUCAAGGCAAAGCACUAUCGAUGAUGUACUCCAUGAGAUACGCGCCCAAAAUGAAUUAAAUCAAGAGCGCGAUGGAUUAUUUUAUGCCAUGCACCAACAACAAGGGGGGAUGAUGGAACGAAUGACAUUCAUGCAAGCCCAGCAAAACCAAAUUCUUCAAAACCAACAUGAGAUGCAGGGCUAUUAUCAUAGAUGGGAGAGCUCAGAAGAGCACCGUCAACAACAGCUCGACAAUGUCAUACAAGAGCUAGGCGGUUUGAGGCUUCAGUUCAACAAUUUCCAAAAUUAUCAACAGCCUCCCCCAUGAUUUACC
rnacentral:lncRNA from 1 species